rnacentral:tRNA from 1 species
UAUAUUUUGGUGUAAGAGCACAUAAGUUUUUGAUACUUAUAGUAAUAGUUUAAUUCUAUUAAAUAUAA